AGUAUUCCACCUGGGGAGUACGGCCGCAAGGUUGAACUCAAAGGAAUUGACGGGGCCCGCACAAGCGGUGGAGCAUGUGGUUUAAUUCGAUGAUACGCGAGGAACCUUACCAGGGCUUAAAUGCAGAACGACCGGGAUGGAUACAUCCCUUUCUUCGGACGGUCUGCAAGGUGCUGCAUGGUUGUCGUCAGCUCGUGCUGUGAAGUGUCGGGUUAAGUCCCAUAACGAGCGCAACCCCUAUUUCUAGUUGCCAGCGGUUCGGCCGGGGACUCUAGAGAAACUGCCAGCGUAAGCUGUGAGGAAGGUGGGGAUGACGUCAAAUCAUCACGGCCCUUACGUCCUGGGCCACACACGUGCUACAAUGGUGGGGACAACGAGUCGCGAACCCGCGAGGGUAAGCUAAUCUUCAAACCCCAUCUCAGUUCGGAUCGGAGUCUGCAACUCGACUCCGUGAAGUUGGAAUCGCUAGUAAUCGCGUAUCAGCCAUGACGCGGUGAAUACGUUCCCGGGCCUUGUACACACCGCCCGUCAAGCCAUGGAAGCUGGGGGCGCCUGAAGUCGGAUACCGCAAGGGUCUGCCUAGGGCGAAACUGGUAACUGGGGCUAAGUCGUAACAAGGUAGCC
rnacentral:rRNA from 1 species